rnacentral:rRNA from 1 species
UACGUAGGGUGCAAGCGUUGUCCGGAAUUAUUGGGCGUAAAGAGCUCGUAGGCGGUUUGUCGCGUCUGCUGUGAAAUCUGGGGGCUCAACCCCCAGCCUGCAGUGGGUACGGGCAGACUAGAGUGCGGUAGGGGAGAUUGGAAUUCCUGGUGUAGCGGUGGAAUGCGCAGAUAUCAGGAGGAACACCGAUGGCGAAGGCAGAUCUCUGGGCCGUAACUGACGCUGAGGAGCGAAAGCAUGGGGGGCGAACAGG